CAGGUCUGACAGUACUCUACUACCAGAGCUAUCUCAUUGGCCACAUAUCCUGUAUGGUUGGUUGGCUGGUUCGCUAGUUUGGUUGGAGACAGGGCCUCCAUAUGCAGCUGUGGAACAUAUUAUGUAAACCAACCUGGGCUUCAAACCCACAGAGAUCUGCUUGCCCCUGUCUCCCAAGCAAUGGAAUUAAAGAUACUGCUACCUGCUGAGAGGCCCCCCUGAACUAUUCCAGAGACUAUGCCCUAUCCUGCAGACCAUCUCCUGCAGCUGGUUCCAGGCUCCAAGAAUGAAUUGGCAAGAAUGGGCCUCCCCCCUCCUUUAUAAAGCAUAUCUGCCAUUAAACAUGUGAACUUUGA
rnacentral:lncRNA from 1 species